GACGAACGCUGGCGGCGUGCUUAACACAUGCAAGUCGAACGGAGAGGCCCCAGCUUGCUGGAGUGGUCGAGUGGCGAACGGGUGAGUAACACGUGAGCAACCUGCCCCUGACUCUGGGAUAACCGCUGGAAACGGGGUCUAAUACCGGAUACGAGCUGCGUCCGCAUGGGGACUUUCUGGAAGGUUCUUCGGUUGGGGAUGGGCUCGCGGCCUAUCAGCUUGUUGGUGGGGUAGUGGCUUACCAAGGCGACGACGGGUAGCCGGCCUGAGAGGGCGACCGGCCACACUGGGACUGAGACACGGCCCAGACUCCUACGGGAGGCAGCAGUGGGGAAUAUUGCACAAUGGGCGAAAGCCUGAUGCAGCGACGCCGCGUGAGGGAUGACGGCCUUCGGGUUGUAAACCUCUUUCAGCAGUGAAGAAGCGAAAGUGACAGUACUUGCAGAAGAAGCACCGGCUAACUACGUG
rnacentral:rRNA from 1 species